UAGUGAUUUAUAAAGGAAAAAAACAUGCUUCUGACAGGAAAUAGCUAAGUUCCUCAGUCUAUAGUUCUUUAAACAAAGCAAUCUGAGAUUUAGCUGGGGGUAAGUAUCACAACUGCGCAGAGCACCUUGUCUUCAUACAAUUCAGUGACUCUCCAUUUGUAGGCAAAGAUAAGCCUUGUUCCUGUUUUGUUUAGGAGGGAUAUAUGCAAUGACAUGAGAAGCAAAACUAUUUUCCAUAAGAUUGUUUUAUUUUGGUCAUUUUAUUUUCCUAUCAGAAUCAUGUACAUGCAUAACUACUGAGACUUUGUUUCAUUGCAAACCUUUGCCACCACCAGCAUGUUCACACAUAAAUGAAUGCUCCGCUUCAUGAAAAGAGAAAAUAUGGUUCUGGAGUUUAAACAGUUGUGAAGGUUUUACCACAGCCUUCUCUUCGCCAUCAGCAUACAUCCCUUUUGGAGGCACGAGUUUUCAUGUGCUGCUUAAGACAAUCUUUGCAUUUGAAUGUUUCCAGAGACAUAUUUCACAUGUUUCCUCUCAUGCUUCAUGUGAUACUGUCUCUUUGGGUUUCUCUCACAUUUCAAGAAGCUCUGUCCAUGGUUUUACCUCAGAGGAAAGUCUUGUCUGACACACAGAACCCUCUGAACCUUUCUCCUUCCUUUCCACCUGCUGGGUGAAGCAAAGUGUCUCCCACAUCCUCCAUGGUUUUCUUGAAGAGUGUUUCACCAAUAUACUGGCACUGAAAAAUUUUCAGCUGCAAUGUUUCUUAAAGCUCAUGUUCCAAAGUUCAAAAUUACGUACACAUUAUUUUUACUGAUUUGAUUCUGUUUUGAAUUUUUGACCACAGCCAAUAGCUGCAGAAAUGGCUUUUCUUCUGUGUGAAUCAAGAUCAAGGGACAGAUGGUAGUUCCUGAUGAAGGUUUUGCCACACCCCUCAUAGUCACAAAAAAACUGCCUCUUCCUCACCCUGUGUGUUUGCCCAGCAUGCUUUUAGAUUCUAGGUCCUGUAAUUGGCAAUGACAUUGGGGAAGAAGGGGAACAUCUCUCAGGAACUGCAGAGGUGAUACAGGGUAGGGCUGGGCUCUCACAGUCUAAGGGGAACUACACUGCCUGGAUCACCCAAGCAGACAGCUCCAGGGCAGUAGCUUCUGCACCAAGGAUGGACACUGCCUGCUCCAGCCCUCAGGACGAACUCCAGAUGCAACCUGAGUGCACUUUCAGGAGUGGCCCAGGGUUGGGUGUGUGGGAGUUGAGUCUUUUUUAUAUCUUCCCUAAUUCUACAUAACAUAAAGUCUAAUUCGGCCUUUCCUGUAGCUUGUUAAACAUAUAGAGUACAAUUAUAAUACAAGAUAAAACUUUCAUUUAUAAUACUCCAUCUGUGUCUUUUGGGGGUAUUUUUCUAUCAGUUGAUUUUCAUUUUAUUGUGGGUUGUACUUUUCAGCUUAUUUGCAUGACUGUAGUUUUUCAUCAAAAACAGACGUGAGGAAUUUUAUCUCAUACUGCAAAUUUUUGUAUUCCAGUAAAUACUACUGAGCUUUGUUCUGGGGUGCGGUUAGAUUUCUUGGAUAUUGUUUAACUCUUCAGGACCUUUAUUUAGAGCUGUUUUAGGUGGAGGCAGAGAAGCCUUUAGAUUAGGAUGAAUUGUGACUCCUACAGAUUCAAAAACUUUAUGGAUAUUAUUCUGAACAAAUUUUGAAGCUUUCUAAUUUAGUUCUUGGGAAUAGGAUUGAUUCCCAGUCCCACGUGAGCUUGGGGCUUUUUCUCCUUAAUACUUUCAUAAAUUUCUUACUAGGAAUUGUUCCUCCUAAUCUUUUUUGUUGUUGUUGUUUUGUUGUUGUUGUUGUUGUCUCUCGUAUUCUGCCUUGCUAACAAUUGCUGCCUUGGUCUCCUUGGUCUCCUAGAUUUAUCUUCUUAAAGAGACAAGAAUACUAAGUUCCACAUGGACUCGCCAUCCUCAAAUCGCUGGCUGCGUACUUUCUCCAUGCACUUUCCUCUCUACCUCUUGUACCUCUCAUUGGCUGAGCCUACCAUGGAGUCAGAUGGCAAUGAUGAAUGUGGGGUGCAGAGUGCCAGCACCAGCAUCACAGUUUCACAAGGAAUUGGAGACCAAGGUCCCACACUGAAAACAAGAAGUUGCUACCACUUCAAGACUGCUACUGUACCAGGGAGGUGGUGUGAUAAAGGCAAGUAAAAAAACUGAGAAUUUUUUGUCAAUUUCAACUUGCCUUUUCUUAACAUUCACUUGAUUGACACAAACAUUUGACUGUUUUUUAGAAUUUUGUCAAAGUUGUUUCUAACGAUUCAUGCUUAUUUGUUGCUUCUUCUGGGGAUGAAGGAGAGAUUGGUAUUGCCUACUCUACCAUUUUGCUGAUGUUAC
rnacentral:lncRNA from 1 species